AUAUUUUAUUUUUCCAAAAAAGAUAAGAAGAAAAAAUUUGGACUAAUUUUGUUUUAUUUUUAUGUGAGAAGACCAUUAUUUUGAGCUUGACUUAACCCAAAAGAGGCCCAAAUUUGGUCAAGCCCAAAUCCCUAACCCUUAAAACCCUACAUCCCUUUCCCUUUUGAAAAAGCAUAACAAUAGAGGAAAUUGGGGAACGAUAGCAAAAAAAUGGGAGGGGGAACGGGGAUUAGAGACAUAGGAACAGAGAAAAAAUAGGAAAAACAUAACCUUCUUCUUUCUUCUCCAACAUCAACAAUAUCAUUUCUCAUCAUCCAAGAAUUCUCAUCUACUCACCUAAUCUCUAACAAAAACCAGCUGCACACCAUCAAAAGCCAGUCGCACCCAUCUCUCAAAAAACCUUCUGCCACCACCCUCAACCCAAACUUGCCGACAACAGCUGCACACCCUCGUCUCUCAUCAUUUCCGUCGCGCCUCCGAGGAAAUAGAGGGACUCUUCUCUUUGUUAGCUUAAUCCUCAACUUUGGAUGGCAACUUCACUUUACUCAGUUGCUGUUAUUUAAAUUUUAGCUUCUUCUUACGAUUUUCAAUUUCGAAACCAUGGACUCCGAUGGAGUUUGAUGGAGGUUAUUUUGGUUUCGAGCUUUCCGAUCAACGACGGUAUCUCAUUCGAGUUUCGGUCUAGCGAUUCAAGUAUUGUGUCAAUUAUUGUUCGUGCAGCAAUGUAUUCGGUUUUGGUUUUUUGUCCAUAGGAAGCUCCCUUGUUUCAGAGAAUACAACACCAUUGUCCUUAAGGUCCAUUCUUGCCUCUUUCUUUUUUUUUAGAUUUAUCUCACAUUUGUUAGUUGUGUUUGGUUUGCAAUUCAUGAUUUAAUUGGUAUUUUGUGACUGAUUUACAAUUUGUUGGUUUCAGAUAUAUUUUAAUAGAAUCUUUAAUAGAGUGCCAAAUAGUAAAAAAGUGUUAAAUUUAUAAUUGUACUGGGUUAUGGGGAUUAACUGAUAAAAAGGGUAUGAGCCUCAAUCAUGAACUUUGAAUAUAAAUUUGCUUUAAAGCAAUUUUGGGCUAAGUAACUUUUUUUAAUUUCAAUCGACAUUUUAUUUAGAAGCUUGAUUUAUUCGACUAUUUUAAUUUAUGAUAAUAUUCUGGGACUACUAGGAGAACACUUAGGCCCACCACACUCGGGUAGGCAAACUUUAAGUUCUUCUUAUAUUUUAUUUUAUUCGAGGUGAUAGGUCGUGCCCUUUAGUUUAUAUUCGGGGAAUGCCCCGUAGACUUUGUAUAUAUUUUAUCCGGGGUAUGCCUCGUAGUAUCAUGUAUUUGGAGGUCAUGACGAAUAUCGUGAAAAAUGUAUAAUAUAUAUUAGUAUUUAGGAUUUUACAUUACUUUUUUCUUUUCUAUUUUCUUUUAUUAGGUAGAGACGACCUCGAGCCUUUUGUGUGUUUAUUUGGUUUUGUGUGUUUUGCCUCAAUUGGAAUAUCCUUUAAAGUCAACUAGAUCAUGUACGCAACCGUAUUAGUUACGGAACUUGGGGAGUGCCUAACACCUUCUCGCUAAGUCAAAUGAACCCCCUUAUCUAGAACUCUGGUGCAUACUGGUUUAAGAGUCAAAUAUAUUUUGAAGGGAAAUUAUUAUUUUAAAAACGGUGACCUAACACACCAAAAUCUGGUUUCUAUUAUCGGUACAUUGGUGGAUUACUUAUGACUAAGAAAAGAAAAAUAUCAGGGGUAAUUUGGGUAAAAAACUUGAGGAAUACAUGCUAUAUUUCGCCUUACCGAUUUGUAUGCAGGUUUUGAGAAGACUUAGAGUUUACGAUUCUUGUGGAUGUGAUGUACACAGAAAGGAAUUCAUCCGGUUGCUUCUUUGAGAGAGUUUUCAAGUGCUAACAGAGCAUUGGAGUUAGGUUAUAUUUAGGACCAGGUCAGAGUGGGUGACGCUCAAUAAUGAUUCCAGUGGGUUCAAGAAUUUAAGUGCAGUGUCUAAGGAUUAUGGACCGCUGUGUGGUUAAGGAUCGAGUUUUUGCAGUGGAUUAUGAAAGGUACUUGGGGUGUUUCUAUGUUAGCACCAGGGGUCUGCGGUGUAGUGUUAGAGAGAUGUAAGAAAACAAUUUUAGAUUUGUAGAGGACCUUUCAGAAUGGGUGUACUAGUUGGACAUGAUAUUGUGUGCAUAAGGAGGGUAUGCGAUAGUUCAUGGGUAUUGAGACGAUGUGAUCUCGCGAUUUGGGGUCACUCGGGAUGAGUGUUGAUUGAGUUUUGUUAUUUUUUUGAAGUGAGCUAUUAUUAUUUCUAAGGCAAGUCAAGAGUAAGUUGGAAGAAGUGGGUUCAGUUAGUAAUGGUUUGAAGUAGCAUGAUUGUGGCAAUGAUCAGUUCCUUAGGCAUGUUAUGUUAUACAGGUGGUUUGUGGUUGUACGUGUGGGCUUGACAGCUACCAUAAUUUGAUU
rnacentral:lncRNA from 1 species